AUGUUUUUAGUAUAUUAGUACAUUUACCUUCCAAGUAAAAAGAUUAUGUCCCAUAAAAAACGUA
rnacentral:tRNA from 1 species